UACGUAGGGGGCAAGCGUUGUCCGGAUUUAUUGGGCGUAAAGAGCGUGUAGGCGGCUUUACAGGUCCGUUGUGAAAACUCGAGGCUCAACCUCGAGACGCCGGUGGAAACCGUAAGGCUAGAGUCCGGAAGAGGAGAGUGGAAUUCCUGGUGUAGCGGUGAAAUGCGCAGAUAUCAGGAGGAACACCGGUGGCGAAGGCGCUGCUCUGGGCCGGUACUGACGCUGAGGAGCGAAAGCGUGGGUAGCAAACAGG
rnacentral:rRNA from 1 species